rnacentral:sRNA from 1 species
AGUCGCUUGAAAGUAAGACGUAUAUUUAUGCACACCAUUACGAAGUCUUAUCAGUACCUCGUCCUGUUUUUCAUAAGUAAUCGCAACACUUCCAGCACAAUCCGCCUCAUAUGAGGCAAAAAAAAAUUACUCUGAAAGAAUAGGACUACUAUUAUGUCUACUACUGGUACAGUUAAAUGGUUUAACGAAGAGAAAGGUUUUGGUUUCAUCGAGCAGGAAAACGGCCCAGACGUUUUCGCUCAUUUCUCUGCGAUCCAAGGCGACGGCUUCAAAACUUUGGCUGAAGGUCAGAAAGUUGAGUUCACUGUAACUCAAGGCCAGAAAGGCCCACAGGCUGAGAACAUCACUAAGAUCUAAUUCUUAGUACGUUCUAGUAAAAAAAAGCAAGGCUUCGGUCUUGCUUUUUUUG